GCGGCCUUCCCCAACACUCACGGUGCAGCAGCAGCGAUGUCCCAAUGCCUCAGUGAGGCCUCUUAAAGCUGUGGCGAAGGUGAGUCUGGGCCCCGCCCCCUAGGCCAGGUGGAAUCAGCCUGAAGAGGGAGCGGCCUUCCCCAACACUCACGGUGCAGCAGCAGCGAUGUCCCAAUGCCUCAGUGAGGCUUCUUAAAGCUGUGGCGAAGGUGAGUCUGGGCCCCGCCCCUAGGCCUGGUGGAAUCAGCCUGAAGAGGGAGCGGCCUUCCCCAACACUCACAGUGCAGCAGCAGCGAUGUCCCAAUGCCUCAGUGAGGCUUCUUAAAGCUGGUGGCGAAGGUGAGUCUGGGCCCCGCCCCUAGGCCAGGUGGAAUCAGCCUGAAGAGGGAGCGGCCUUCCCCAACACUCACGGUGCAGCAGCAGCGAUGUCCCAAUGCCUCAGUGAGGCUUCUUAAAGCUGUGGCGAAGGUGAGUCUGGGCCUUCCCCAACACUCACGGUGCAGCAGCAGCGAUGUCCCAAUGCCUCAGUGAGGCUUCUUAAAGCUGUGGCGAAGGUGAGUCUGGGCCCCGCCCCCUAGGCCAGGUGGAAUCAGCCUGAAGAGGGAGCGGCCUUCCCCAACAC